rnacentral:rRNA from 1 species
UACGUAGGGCGCGAGCGUUGUCCGGAAUUAUUGGGCGUAAAGAGCUCGUAGGCGGCCUGUCGCGUCGGUUGUGAAAGCCCGGGGCUCAACCCCGGGUCUGCAGUCGAUACGGGCAGGCUAGAGUUCGGUAGGGGAGAUCGGAAUUCCUGGUGUAGCGGUGAAAUGCGCAGAUAUCAGGAGGAACACCAAUGGCGAAGGCAGCUCGCUGGGACGACACUGACGCUGAGACGCGAAAGCGUGGGGAGCAAACAGG